GACAAUGGAUGACACGUCUCUACUACGUCUGCUCUUUAUGACUUCAAUGCUUUGCUGGACAACAAACCAAGCUCGUCUGACUGUGAGUCCCAGCAGCUCUCAGUUCUUUGAAGGAGACUUUGUGUCUCUGAGCUGUGAGGAGGACGACAGCUCUGCUGGAUGGACUCUGAGGAGAAACACAAGCAGAGACACUGGAGCUGAGUGUAAGAAGUGGGGAGAAGCAUCUGGUUCUUCAUGUAACAUCAGCUACAUCGACCCAUUGGACAGUGGAGUUUACUGGUGUGAGUCCAGAGAGGGUCCCAUCAGUAACAUGGUUAACCUGACAGUCACUGGU
ensembl:lncRNA